rnacentral:rRNA from 1 species
AGCAGCCGCGGUAAUUCCAGCUCCAAUAGCGUAUAUUAAAGUUGUUGCAGUUAAAAAGCUCGUAGUUGAACUUCGGGGUUCACCCAUUGGUCAGGCUUAAUUGUCUGUACUGGUGAGAUGAGUCUCUACCUUCUGAGGAACUUUCAUGUCAUUAAUUUGGUGUGAUGGGAAAUCAGGACUGUUAUUUUGAAAAAUUAGAGUGUUUAAAGCAGGCUAACGUCUGAAUACAUUAGCAUGGAAUAAUGAAAUAGGACGGACUGAUUCUAUUUCGUUGGUUUCUAGGAUCACCGUAAUGAUUAAUAGGGAUAGUUGGGGCAUUAGUAUUCAAUUGCCAGAGGUGAAAUUCUUGGAUUUAUUGAGGACUAACUACUGCGAAAG